AUUGAACGCUGGCGGCAUGCCUUACACAUGCAAGUCGAACGGCAGCACGGGUGCUUGCACCUGGUGGCGAGUGGCGAACGGGUGAGUAAUACAUCGGCACAUGUCCUGUAGUGGGGGAUAGCCCGGCGAAAGCCGGAUUAAUACCGCAUACGAUCUACGGAUGAAAGCGGGGGACCUUCGGGCCUCGCGCUAUAGGGUUGGCCGAUAGCUGAUUAGCUAGUUGGUGGGGUAAAGGCCUACCAAGGCGACGAUCAGUAGCUGGUCUGAGAGGACGACCAGCCACACUGGGACUGAGACACGGCCCAGACUCCUACGGGAGGCAGCAGUGGGGAAUUUUGGACAAUGGGCGAAAGCCUGAUCCAGCAAUGCCGCGUGUGUGAAGAAGGCCUUCGGGUUGUAAAGCACUUUUGUCCGGAAAGAAAUCCUUGGCUCUAAUACAGUCGGGGGAUGACGGUACCGGAAGAAUAAGCACCGGCUAACUACGUG
rnacentral:rRNA from 1 species